rnacentral:rRNA from 1 species
UACGGAGGAUGCGAGCGUUAUCCGGAUUUAUUGGGUUUAAAGGGUGCGUAGGCGGGCUUUUAAGUCAGCGGUAAAAAUUCGGGGCUCAACCCCGUCCGGCCGUUGAAACUGGGGGUCUUGAGUGGGCGAGAAGAAGGCGGAAUGCGUGGUGUAGCGGUGAAAUGCAUAGAUAUCACGCAGAACCCCGAUUGCGAAGGCAGCCUUCCGGCGCCCUACUGACGCUGAGGCACGAAAGUGCGGGGAUCGGACAGG